GACGAACGCUGGCGGCGUGCCUAAUACAUGCAAGUCGUGCGGACCUUGUUGAAAGCUUGCUUUUAAAAGGUUAGCGGCGGACGGGUGAGUAACACGUGGGCAACCUGCCUGUAAGACUGGGAUAACGCCGGGAAACCGGGGCUAAUACCAGAUCGUUUUUUCCUCCGCAUGGAGGAAAAAGGAAAGGCGGCUUCGGCUGCCACUUACAGAUGGGCCCGCGGCGCAUUAGCUAGUUGGCGGGGUAAUGGCCCACCAAGGCAACGAUGCGUAGCCGACCUGAGAGGGUGAUCGGCCACAUUGGGACUGAGACACGGCCCAAACUCCUACGGGAGGCAGCAGUAGGGAAUCUUCCGCAAUGGACGAAAGUCUGACGGAGCAACGCCGCGUGAGUGAAGAGGGCCUUCGGGUCGUAAAACUCUGUUGCCGGGGAAGAACAAGUGCCGUUCGAACAGGGCGGCGCCUUGACGGUACCCGGCCAGAAAGCCACGGCUAACUACGUG
rnacentral:rRNA from 1 species